CAUAACCUAUAACAAUUUCCAAA
rnacentral:snRNA from 1 species